rnacentral:rRNA from 1 species
GACGAACGCUGGCGGCGCGCCUAACACAUGCAAGUCGAACGGAGUUUCCCCUUCGGGGGGAGCUUAGUGGCGGACGGGUGAGUAACACGUGAGGAACCUGCCUUUGAGAGCGGGAUACCGUCUGGAAACGGACGUUAAUACCGCAUAAUGCAGCGAGGCCACAUGGCCAUGCUGCCAAAGAUUUAUCGCUCAAAGAUGGCCUCGCGCCUGAUUAGAUAGUUGGCGGGGUAACGGCCCACCAAGUCUGCGAUCAGUAGCCGGACUGAGAGGUCGAACGGCCACAUUGGGACUGAGAUACGGCCCAGACUCCUACGGGAGGCAGCAGUGAGGAAUAUUGGUCAAUGGGCGCAAGCCUGAACCAGCCAUCCCGCGUGCAGGAAGACGGCGCUAUGCGUUGUAAACUGCUUUUCCAGGGAGAGAAACUUGCGCACGUGUUGCGCAAUUGACGGUACCCUGGGAAUAAGCAUCGGCUAACUCCGUGCCAGCA